GAAGGAGGGAGGGAGGGUGUAUUUAUAUUUAUAAGCAGCAUAGAAUAGAAGGGACUGGGGAAGGGAGUUAUCGAUGAUCUGUUGGGACUCACCACUGUGACACACUACACUUGGGUUGGGCAGGCAUUACUGUCAUAUCUCUCUCUCUCUCUCUCUCUCUCUCUCUCUCUCUCUCUCUCUCUCGCUAUGGUUGCUUCAUUCAUCAUCGAAUCUCUUUGGCAGGUUUUCUCCGUUCCCUUCAUUCUUCUUCCAUUUUAUUUCCCCUUUAUUAUCAUCACAUGCAUUUUUC
rnacentral:lncRNA from 1 species